rnacentral:tRNA from 1 species
GGCCGUGUGGCGAAAUGGCAUCGCGUCUGACUACGAUUACCAAUCGAAAUCAGGAGAUUGCAGGUUCGACCCCUGUCUCGGUCA